UUAUAACCUUUGUUCGGUUAUUGAAGUCUUAAAAGAAUGUUUAAAUUCUUGAAGUUGUUUGUUCAAAUUCUAAGACUUGCUAAGCAAUUGAAUGCUCACACUUGCUUUAAAUAAAAAUAUUUUCAGCGAACGAUAUUAGAAGAACUUAAGGAUCCCGUAAAGAUCAAGCUGAUCGGUAUCUAGAAGAAGUGACAUUUAUUAUAUGAAUGUGCGUGGAGAUCAAGUGAAGACUUGUAAUAUAGAAUGAUAGAAUUAAACUAUAGAAUAGUUUAAUGAAUGAUUAUGUAUCCUUGGUGGCGGAUAAAAGUCACUCGUGCAAGAUGUAAAGAAUAAUGUAAUUAUCAUUAUUUGUAAUGAAAGAGGUUAUAAGGUAUUAGAACCUGGGAAUUGAGAAUGUAUGUUGUUAUAUUUAGC
rnacentral:lncRNA from 1 species